CCUGAACGCUGGCGGCGUGGCUAAGACAUGCAAGUCGCACGCACGUAGCAAUACGUGAGUGGCGAACGGGUGAGUAAUGUAUCGCUAACGUACCCCGGACUCCGGGAUAGCUGCCCGAAAGGGCAGGUAAUACCGGAUGAGACCCCGAACAGGCAUCUGUUUGUGCUCAAAGGUCCGCCGGUCUGGGAGCGGGCGAUAUCGUAUCAGCUAGUUGGCGGGGUAACGGCCCACCAAGGCGACGACGCGUAGCCGGACUGAGAGGUCGGUCGGCCACAUCGGGACUGAGACACUGCCCGGACUCCUACGGGGGGCUGCAGUAACGAAUCUUCCCCAAUGCACGCAAGUGUGAGGGAGCGACGCCGCGUGGAGGACGAAGUCCUUCGGGAUGUAAACUCCUGUCAGGGGCUACCAAGUUCUGAGGGGCCCCAGAGGAAGGCACGGCUAACUCUGUGC
rnacentral:rRNA from 1 species